rnacentral:sRNA from 1 species
UAGGACCUCUUGUGAGUCCGUGCGGGUAUAA